rnacentral:rRNA from 1 species
UGAGUACGAGCUGCUACGGCAGCGAAGUGGAUGAUGUCAAGCUUCCAAGAAAAGCCCCUACCCGUUAAGGCAUGACGGCCUGUACCCGAAACCGACACAGGUGGGGUGGUAGAGAAUACCGAGGGGCGCGAGAUAACUCUCUCUAAGGAACUCGGCAAAAUGGCCCCGUAACUUCGGGAGAAGGGGUGCCACCGCGAGGUGGUCGCAGUGAAGAGGCCCAGGCAACUGUUUACCAAAAACACAGGUCUCCGCUAAGUCGCAAGACGAUGUAUGGGGGCUGACGCCUGCCCAGUGCCGGAAGGUUAAGGAAGCCGGUCAGCGUAAGCGAAGCUGGCGACUGAAGCCCCGUGAACGGCGGCCGUAACUAUAACGGUCCUAAGGUAGCGAAAUUCCUUGUCGGGUAAGUUCCGACCCGCACGAAAGGCGUAACGAUCUGGGCGCUGUCUCGGAGAGAGGCUCGGCGAAAUAGAAUUGUCUGUGAAGAUGCGGACUACGUGCACCCGGACAGAAAGACCCUAUCAAGCUUUACUGUAGCUUGGUAUUGUGCUCGGGCUCUGAAUGCGCAGGAUAGGUGGGAGGCUUUGAUCCAUUGCUUGUGGGUGAUGGUGAGCCACUGGUGAGAUACCACUCUUUCAGAGCUAGGGUUCUAACGGUCACCCGUUAUCCGGGGACCGGACAGUAUCAGGUGGGCAGUUUGACUGGGGCGGUCGCCUCCUAAAAGGUAACGGAGGCGCGCAAAGGUUCCCUCAGGCUGGUUGGAAAUCAGCCGACGAGUGCAAAGGCAGAAGGGAGCUUGACUGUGAGACCAACAAGUCGAACAGGGACGAAAGUCGGCCUUAGUGAUCCGACGGUUCUGAGUGGAAGGGCCGUCGCUCAACGGAUAAAAGUUACUCUAGGAUAACAGGCUGAUCUCCCCCAAGAGUUCACAUCGACGGGGAGGUUUGGCACCUCGAUGUCGGCUCAUCGCAACCUGGGGCUGAAGUCGGUCCCAAGGGUUGGGCUGUUCGCCCAUUAAAGCGGUACGCGAGCUGGGUUCAGAACAUCGUGAGACAGUUCGGUCCAUAUCCGGUGCAUGCGCAGGAACAUUGAGAGGAUUUCUCCCUAGUACGAGAGGACCGGGAGGAACGCACCUCUGGUGUACCAGUUAUCGUGCCAACGGUAAACGCUGGGUAGCCAUGUGCGGAGCGGAUAACCGCUGAAAGCAUCUAAGUGGGAAGCCCACCUCAGGAUGAGUGUUCCCAU